GUAUGGUACUCCGCUCUCCAAACCCAGGGUCUAGCUAGCGCUUGGAUGAAGGGAUUAAACUGAGCCUUGUAAGGCGGGGCCAAGGCCCACUUUGCAGGAGAACGGUGGGGGUCUGUCCCUUAGUUGGCGUUAAAGGGCUUUACUGGUGGGGGUGGGGUGUUGCUCAGCGUCCACAAUUCAUUCUCCGGCCAAGUCUCCCAGGCUACCCUCCCCAGAGGCCGUCAAUGGCUCUGCCCUAACCUCUCCCCUGCGGGGUCUUUCCAUCCUGCUCCAUCAAAUCAAAGCAGGGGCAGUCCCAAUCCGCCACCCUCCUACUGUUUGCUUUCUCCCUCUCCCAAAAGCAACCACAGCACAGACCGCUCUCAAAUCUUAGAAAGGCUCGUAAUUCUACUAGGGAGCCUGUUGCAAAUGCAGAGUCCCAGGCAUCAUUCACGGGAGGCCCACUCAGAGGGACCUGGUGCGGAACCCUGGAAUCAGCAUUGUUAAGCAGCCUCCCAGUGGCCCCGAUGAUCCUACUUUAGGAGCUUCCUAGGAUGCAACACGGAGACCCAAGAUAAUGCCCUGACGAGGGGCAGGGAGGGAGAGCCAUUGCCGUCAAGGUGGGACUCUGGGCUGGGGACGACUUCCGGUGGCAGUUGCCGGGCCUUAGGCACAGGGCUGUCUCAGUCUACCGUCCAAAGGUGGGCCCAGCGGCGAGCGGCGUUUGUCGCACCAGGUGUGCCUGCAGGCCUCAGCGCCGGGCCUGCUGCUGCCUCCCUUCUGUGCUGGAGAGACAGACGCGGAUAUAAAUAACAGCGAGGCCGGGCCGGAUGAACAUGCAGGACCUUAGUUCCCAGACCAAGGAUCGAACCUGCACCCCUGAAGUGGGAGCGCUGCAUCUUAACCACGGGACCACCAGGGAAGUCCCUCUUUUGUUUUCUUUUAAACAUUUUAUAGUUUUAGUUUUACAUUUCUGCCCCCUGGAUAUCUGUGUGGCUCCGUGAAGGGGGUCAUCUGCACUUGCUGUGCCCAUGGCUUUACCCCCUCGCUCCUCCGCUCAGGAGUCUUGUUUCUUUUCCCAUCUCCCUGCCCACCGCCUGGAGCCCCUCAAUGUAGAGUCCAGGUGCCAUCGUACCAGCCCAGCCUGAAGUACUUGGCAUGUGUGCUGGGCCAUAGCUCCUCCCCCAUGAGCUUCUAUCAACCCUCUGAAGAGCCUUCCGGGGCUGGAUAGGAGCCUCCUGCGGCUCGCUGACCUUCCUUCUGCCGUGGAUCUGAUCAAGGUGUUGAAGUCAUAAUGACCUGGGUCUGUCUUCUACUCCACUUUUCUACCACUAGAAGUCUCCCUGUCCUCCAGCAGGCCCGUGCCCAGGGCCCAGGUCUGGACCCCGCACAGAGGAGGGGCUCUGGGGAGGUUUGCUGAUUGAAUGUGUGAGAGAACUCUAUCUCUGCUCCUAGCCACAGAUGCAGCAACCUGGGCAUGAGAGACUUAACUCUCACAUUGGAGGUUAGAUCCCAGCUCGCCACCUGGGCUAUGGGGCCCAUGAUGCGGCCUUGAGGACUUCUUCGACCUCAUCUUUGCCUGUCUCUUGUUUACUGCUGGCCUUUUCAUUCCCUGAGCACACCGUACUAUUUUCUACCUCGCCCUUGGGAGUGGCUGACCUCUCUUCUGCUCUCUCUGCCAAUUCUCUUGUAAUUCAAAUUGCAGGUUGAAAGCCCCCUCCUUGGGAAGGUUCGCCUUCCCCCAACUGCCCAAUCUCAAGGAGCCACUUGGUCACUAGCUACCAUCACCAGUUUUGAUUGUCUUAGUGGAACAUCCUCACCAUCUGACAAAUUCUUCACUUAUUUGUUUGUGGUUCCUAGAACAUCACUUCAGGAAGAUGCCUGGAACAGUGUCCAGCACUUAUGGGGCCUCCAUGUUGAAUGGUAAACGUUGAAUGUUGAGUGAUUUACUGGAGUCAGUUAGGGCAGAGCCAGCCUCAGGACCCAGAUGUCCAGGUGGCUGGACCAGGCCUCUUCUCCUGCUUGGCCUCACCAACCCUGCCACAGGUCAGCAGUAUUCUGAUCAGGUCCUCAUGCCUGUGGGGGGUCUCGGCUGGUAGCCCUAUGGUCCCACCCAGCGAUCAGCCCAUCACUCUUUUCUCCCCUCCCUGAGGAAGGUGCCACAGCACAGGGUCCUCCAGGGCCCUCACCAGGGCUCAGGAGCCAGUGGGGCAGGAAGAGGUGCUGACCCAGGGACCAGCCCAAGUGGCCUAGCUGGACAGGCGCCUAGCCUCACUGCCUCUCGUACAAAUGGGACAGAGGUCAAGAGGGGAGAGAGAUAUUUGAGGUUACACAGAGUCGGCAGCUGUGAGGACCCACUUCUCUCGCUGGCAGUGAAAUUCCCCAAAUUAAAACCCAGAAAAUCAGCAGGUUCCUGUCACCCAGGGGCUUGGACACUUCCUGGCUGGUCCCAGCCUGUCCUUAGGCCCUGCCCACUCAGGACUUGGCUGAAGUGGCCAGACCCAGGGAAAGGAGGAGGGAGGGUAAGAGUGUGCCCCUCCACCCCAUGACUCACUUGGGGGAGGUGGCAGUGAGGGGACCAGACAGUGGCAUCCCCUUGGCCCAAGGGCGGGUGCUGACUCAGGCAAGCAGUGACGAAUGGAGCAGGGUUCUCCUGCCACCAUGACUUACCCCUACCCACCCAUCUGUUCUCCAGGAGAAACUAUUUUGAGGGUGAUUAGUAUACGUCCCAGGAUGUUACCUUGCUGGGGGACAAGCAGCUUCCCACUCUUGCAGAGGGCAGACUGGGGGCCAGCCUGGUGUCUGCUUUGAGAAUGGAGUUUCCUUUUCCACCCCAGCCUGGUCCCGCUGUUGGCAGGGUUGGGUUUCGACCUGUUUGCUGAUUCAAGGAAGCAUCCAGGACUGGGCUGUCUGCUGGUGUUUGAGGAUGAAUGAUUAUGGCCCUGCUGAUGAAAUGGUACUUGUCAUUUAUUCUGGGCCAGCUACGGUGCUCAGCAUUUUCCACUCACUGUUUCAUUUAAUCUUCACAAGUAGGUGUAAUUAUUAUACCCAUUUUAGAGGUGAGAGAACUGAGACGCCUGAGUAGGUGGAGUGGUUGCUUGAGGUCACCCAGCUCAGAAGCGGCAGGGCUGGGAUUGGAAUCCUUGUUUUCUCAGGGAGCAGAGUCUAGACUCUUCCCUGAUGGGCGCCCUCCUGACACGUUCCCUGUGGAGGGGACUUGGUCUUGCUUUUCUCCUUCCUGGCUCUUCUUUGCCUCCUGAUCCCUGGGCUCCCAGGCCCCCUGUAUACACCUCUCCUGUAACUGCUGUCCCACCUGUGCUCCCCAGGCAGGCAGUGGGUGCUCAUGGAGUGUUUGUGAAUAAGUGAGCCUUUUUUCCAAGGAACUCUGAGUCUACCAGAAUGUUCUUUCUCUCCUUACCCCCAGGUCUCCCACUGCACCCCUUCAGAGCCAGCAAUUGGUGAAUAAAUGGAGGCAAGAACAUAUGAAUGAAUCAUUUCUGUGCCUGAGCCAUGGAGAAUUUGGAGGUUUGUUCAAACCCGGACUCUCUGUUCUUUCAGCUGGAGGGGCUGCCCGGGAAGGCGAUCUCGGCACCUGAGCUGGGCCUCCCCCAGGCCUGUCAGCUCCCUGGCACGUGCACAGGGAGUGGGAAUGAGUGAGUGGGUAUGGGUGAGUGGGAGUGGGUAUGGGCCCCUACUCUAGUAGAACCUGUGCUAGGUGUUUUAUUUAUAUUAACAUAAAUAGGAAUGAGUAUGUGAGGGGACCUGGGGCCCACAGGCAAUGGGCAACCUGUGCACAGGGACACUGAGACAGGCUGGGCUUCUCCCUGCCAGGGCAGAGGAAAGGGAGAGCUCUGCCAGGGCCUGGGCAUCCUGGACUGGGGCCUCUCUCUCCUCGACAGGCUCUGUUGAAGGAAGCGGCCCAUGGAGGGGCCAGACAUCAAGGGCUCCUGGGACCUUGUGCAGAUGUGGGAUGUCUGGCCUGAGAGCUUCUAGGCCCAGUUCACACACUUGGGUGGGGAGGGAUCGGUGUUGGCCUGUUUGGGGGGUGAGGGGCCUGAGGAAACGCCAGUCCUUUUGAUGCCCCAGAAGAGCUGCUUGCCCCCUGCCCCAGCCUGGAUGGAGGUGGCAUCCCCCAGGCCUGUCACCUCUCCCACACCCAGUGGCAGCCCUCCCCCCACACCCCAGUGGCACUCUUCCAUAGCAGUUUCCACAGUUUUAUACAUGAAAAGGUCACACAUGGGGCAAAAUCUCAGCUUCCCCACUUACUAGUUUUAUGAAUUUUGCAGGUAAUCUAACUUGGAGCCCAUUUCUCAGUUGUACCAUGGAGAUAAUACCUGUUAUCACCAGGUUGUUGUGAGUGUAAAAUAAGAUUCAACAAAUACCUAGCUGACAUCUUCAACCCUUGGGCCUUGCGAAGCUGAUGUGCAUCACUGCUGGGGAGGGGCACCAGGUACCAAGGAAGAGGGAGGAGACGCUGAUUUCCUCCCUAGCCCCGGGCUCAGGCAGGCCACGUCAACCCUGAAACAGCUCCAGAAUUGCCCAGCCAAGAGAAGGGUCGAGAAUCUAAGCACCAGGUUUUUGGAUGGAACCUGACCUAGGUAGGCUCUUCUCAUCCUUGCCCACUCCUAAGGGUCUAGUGGUCUCUGAUGGCCAAAUACCAGAAGAGGUGUGUCCUGUUCUCACCACCUGUCAGCAGAGGGAGCGGGGCACUUCCCAACCUCAUGGAACCUGCUUCCGUGUGGAAAAGGCCCUGUGGGAAUGGGCACCCGGAAGUGUCCUGGGCCGAGGGGAGAGGUGGUAAAAGGGCCCUGUGACACUGUGCCCACCCAGGGGUCAGGUGAGGAUGACUAAUCGUUUCGUGAGGUUCACAGGGGCUGGGUCACUCCAACUCUCCCCAUCCCAAAAGGGGCCCCAGAAACAAAACAAGCAGGGAGCAAGCAGAAGGUUAUUAUAUAUCAUGCUUUUAAUACAAACUUAAAAAAAAUCUGGAACAAUAUAAACUGUACAGAUUUGAUCAAUCUUUUUGUUUUGUUUUUAAACUAAAUCUCUAAACACACCAAUGUUCCAUUCCAAAAUAUUGCACAACAUUCUGAAUACAAAACACUUGAUUGUAUUCCUCCUUCACUAAAGAAAACAAAUUCAUUACCCUGCUCCCGCGAGCUCCUCUCCAUGUUGCCUCAGUGCCCCCCUUCCCAUCCCCAGGGGUCAAACUAGAGAAUCUACAGCUCACUGCACUGAGAAAAAGACAUCAUUCUGGACUAAAAGUUUACUUCCUUUACAAGACGAUCCACCUUUUGACUUGUUCCUGGGAAAGGGGGGUAGACAGAGAGAGGAUGGGGAAAGGGGAGAAAUAGGUUUUAUUCUCCUCUUUUUUUAUUUUAAAGUUUGUUUUUCCUGAAAAAAUAUCUUUCUCUCCUCUUAAGAAAAAAUCUUGAAAAGAAAAAAAUUACCUUUACGUUAGAAAUAUACAUAUAUUAUAUAUACCUCUUACAUUUUACAAAUGUAGCAAAUUAUUCAAUACAAACGGACACCAAAAAAUGUAAAAAAUAAAAAAAAAAAGUUUUCCUAUGAAACCAGGUAAAUUAGUGCAGAUUUUUGUUUUGUUUUCUUAAAAAAAAAAAUAAAGUUGAAGCAAAAAUGCCUAGAUUUGAGACAGACUGAGGUGGGCCCAAGAGCCCAGCACAGGAGUCAUGCUCCUGAUCACACAUUUUUCUUCGUAUUUCAAAAGACACUAAGGGGUUGGUCUCCCCCUCCCUGUAUGUGGUGAGGAACAAGCCGCCCAGGGUGUGGUGGGUGCCUGUGUGCAUGAGUGGGGGAAGAGGGGCUGGAAGGGGGCAUAAGGCAGCAUCCAACCUUUCCCAGAGAGCAGCCUGGGCCUGUCGCCUGUGCGGGAGCUGAGGGCUCGGGAGAGGGUGGCCCAGACGGGGCUGGCCCCUGAGAAGUCUAGGGGGGACAGACGGUGCCGGGCCAAGGAGCCAGGGCACUGCCCCGCGCGGGGAGGUAGAGCUGGUGCCCACUGCAGGGAGAGGAGGCUGGCAGUGUCCGUCUGGGCCGGAUCCGCUGCCACAGCAGUUGCCAACUUGGGGUCACUGGGGAGGAGAGGGUGGGGUGCCAAAGGCUUUGGUGAUGGGGGCCCUGAUGCUACGUGCCCACUUGCCAAAGCGUCAUGGCGUGGAAGCUAGCCCACUAGGGUUGGGUCAAGGUAAAUUCUCUCCAGCAGAGGUGGGGAGAGCUCUUCAAGAAUCCAGACACAGCGCCUGCUGUGGCCAAGCGCCUGUCCAGCCCAGCCUGCUCGAGAUCAGCAUUGGGCCCAGUGGGCCUGGGUCGGACAGUGAGGGGAUGGCAAGAGGUACCAAGAGGUUCUCAAGCAGGCAGGGGAAGAAAUGUAUUAAAGCAACAUCUACAGCCAAAAGACCAAAGUCUCAAUUCAAGGCUUUGGACUGCCCACUACAGGCACUGACCCAAAACUCCCACCCCCCAGGGCGCUCAGGUAAGCGUUUCCCACCCUGGGCUAAGGUCACACAAUAGGAGGGUCCGAGUCCAGGGACUUCUCUUAGGUAUCAGAGGCUGGGCAUUCCCUCAGCCCCUCACUGCUAACCUUUUUUUUUUUUUUUUUUUUUUU